rnacentral:lncRNA from 1 species
CAAGAAGGUAUUGGUGAUAGGAUACAAUCUUGAGCUAAAAUGGAAGCCCGGAGAAUUGCACAGAGCCAGCUUAGGCAACUGGAGGACGAAGUACAUGAUCCUGUGAGGUAUCCACUGCAGCAGGUGGCAUAAAUUGCCACAUUGCAACUCCAGGAUAACUAAUAAAGGGUACCAAUUUGUUGCCAUGGGCUUGGCCUUGUGCAGCAAAUGCCGCAGGGAGUGCAGUGGGGGUAGGCAAGAAACUAGGAGGUGCAUUCAUAGAUUUCAGCUGCUGCUC